rnacentral:rRNA from 1 species
CCUACGGGAGGCAGCAGUGAGGAAUAUUGGUCAAUGGACGCAAGCCUGAACCAGCCAUGCCGCGUGAGGGAAGACGGCUCUAUGGAUUGUAAACCUCUUUUGUAAGGGGGUAAACGGUGGUACGCGUCUCAGUCUGUAUGUACCUUACGAAUAAGGAUCGGCUAACUCCGUGCCAGCAGCCGCGGUAAUACGGAGGAUUCGAGCGUUAUCCGGAUUUAUUGGGUUUAAAGGGAGCGUAGGCGGGUUGUUAAGUCAGUGGUGAAAGUUUGUGGCUCAACCGUACAAUUGCAAUUGAUACUGGGAGUCUUGAGUAUAGUUGAGGUAGGCGGAAUUCGUGGUGUAGCGGUGAAAUGCUUAGAUAUCACGAAGAACUCCGAUUGCGAAGGCAGCUUACUAAGCUACGACUGACGCUGAUGCACGAAAGCGUGGGUAUCAAACAGGAUUAGAUACCCGAGUAGUC